AGGCCUUGAAACCAUGAAGCUUCUCAUCCUUGCCUACCUUGUGGCUGUUGCUCUUGCCAGGCCUCAACUUUUUUUCAAACAAGCAGAAUUUGUUCAAAAUGAACUAGACAGCAGAGAGCCUACAUCAAGACAAUUAAGACCGGACUACAUCAAUGAGGAGAACAGACCAAGAGAACUUCUGAGAGAAAAACAGUUUGAGGAACUGAAGG